CAGCGGAAGCUCAGUAACACGUGGCCAAACUACCCUGUGGAUGGGAACAAUCUCGGGAAACUGAGGCUAAUUCCCAAUAACGCUCCGCCCCUGGAACGGGCGGAGCUGGAAACGCUACGGCGCCACAGGAUGUGGCUGCGGUCGAUUAGGUAGACGGUGGGGUAACGGCCCACCGUGCCAAUAAUCGGUACGGGUUGUGAGAGCAAGAGCCCGGAGACGGAAUCUGAGACAAGAUUCCGGGCCCUACGGGGCGCAGCAGGCGCGAAACCUUUACACUGUACGCAAGUGCGAUAAGGGGACUCCGAGUGUGAAGGCAUAGAGCCUUCACUUUUGUACACCGUAAGGUGGUGUACGAAUAAGGGCUGGGCAAGACCGGUGCCAGCCGCCGCGGUAAUACCGGCAGCCCGAGUGAUGGCCGAUAUUAUUGGGCCUAAAGCGUCCGUAGCUGGCCGGACAAGUCCGUUGGGAAAUCUGUUCGCUUAACGAGCAGGCGUCCAGCGGAAACUGUUCGGCUUGGGACCGGAAGACCUGAGGGGUACGUCCGGGGUAGGAGUGAAAUCCUGUAAUCCUGGACGGACCACCGGUGGCGAAAGCGCCUCAGGAGGACGGAUCCGACAGUGAGGGACGAAAGCUAGGGUCUCGAACCGGAUUAGAUACCCGGGUAGUCCUAGCUGUAAACGAUGCCCGCUAGGUGGUGGCGCAGGCUACGAGCCUGCGCUGUGCCGUAGGGAAGCCGAGAAGCGGGCCGCCUGGGAAGUACGUCUGCAAGGAUGAAACUUAAAGGAAUUGGCGGGGGAGCACUACAACCGGAGGAGCCUGCGGUUUAAUUGGACUCAACGCCGGACAUCUCACCAGCUCCGACAGUAGUAAUGACGGUCAGGUUGAUGACCUUACCCGAUGCUACUGGAAAGGA
rnacentral:rRNA from 1 species